GGGUUGUGAGGUUAAGCGACUAAGCGUACACGGUGGAUGCCUAGGCAGUCAGAGGCGAUGAAGGGCGUGCUAAUCUGCGAUAAGCGUCGGUAAGCUGAUAUGAAGCGUUAUACCCGACGAUACCCGAAUGGGGAAACCCAGUGUGUUUCGACACACUAUCAUUAACUGAAUACAUAGGUUAAUGAGGCGAACCGGGGGAACUGAAACAUCUCAGUACCCCGAGGAAAAGAAAUCAACCGAGAUUCCCCCAGUAGCGGCGAGCGAACGGGGAGGAGCCCAGAACCUGAAUCAGUUUGUGUGUUAGUGGAAGCGUCUGGAAAGUCGCACAGUAAAGGGUGAUAGUCCCGUACACAAAAAUGCACAAGUUGUGAGUUCGAUGAGUAGGGCGGGACACGUGACAUCCUGUCUGAAUAUGGGGGGACCAUCCUCCAAGGCUAAAUACUCCUGACUGACCGAUAGUGAACCAGUACCGUGAGGGAAAGGCGAAAAGAACCCCGGCGAGGGGAGUGAAAUAGAACCUGAAACCGUGUACGUACAAGCAGUGGGAGCCUACUCGUUAGGUGACUGCGUACCUUUUGUAUAAUGGGUCAGCGACUUAUAUUCUGUAGCAAGGUUAACCGUAUAGGGGAGCCGCAGGGAAACCGAGUCUUAACUGGGCGUUAAGUUGCAGGGUAUAGACCCGAAACCCGGUGAUCUAGCCAUGGGCAGGUUGAAGGUUGGGUAACACUAACUGGAGGACCGAACCGACUAAUGUUGAAAAAUUAGCGGAUGACUUGUGGCUGGGGGUGAAAGGCCAAUCAAACCGGGAGAUAGCUGGUUCUCCCCGAAAGCUAUUUAGGUAGCGCCUCGUGAAUUCAUCUUCGGGGGUAGAGCACUGUUUCGGCUAGGGGGUCAUCCCGACUUACCAACCCGAUGCAAACUACGAAUACCGAAGAAUGUUAUCACGGGAGACACACGGCGGGUGCUAACGUUCGUCGUGAAGAGGGAAACAACCCAGACCGCCAGCUAAGGUCCCAAAGUCAUGGUUAAGUGGGAAACGAUGUGGGAAGGCACAGACAGCCAGGAUGUUGGCUUAGAAGCAGCCAUCAUUUAAAGAAAGCGUAAUAGCUCACUGGUCGAGUCGGCCUGCGCGGAAGAUGUAACGGGGCUAAACCAUGCACCGAAGCUGCGGCAGCGACACUUAGGUGUUGUUGGGUAGGGGAGCGUUCUGUAAGCCGUCGAAGGUGGCCUGUGAGGGCUGCUGGAGGUAUCAGAAGUGCGAAUGCUGACAUAAGUAACGAUAAUGCGGGUGAAAAACCCGCACGCCGGAAGACCAAGGGUUCCUGUCCAACGUUAAUCGGGGCAGGGUGAGUCGACCCCUAAGGCGAGGCUGAAAAGCGUAGUCGAUGGGAAACAGGUUAAUAUUCCUGUACUCGGUGUUACUGCGAAGGGGGGACGGAGAAAGCUAGGUUAUCCGGGCGACGGUUGUCCCGGUUUAAGCGUGAAGGUGGAUGACUUUGGUAAAUCCGGGUCAUCAUUAACACUGAGGCGUGAUGACGAGUCACUACGGUGAUGAAGUAACCGAUGCUACGCUUCCAGGAAAAGCCUCUAAGCUCCAGGUAACAUCAAAUCGUACCCCAAACCGACACAGGUGGUCAGGUAGAGAAUACUCAGGCGCUUGAGAGAACUCGGGUGAAGGAACUAGGCAAAAUGGUGCCGUAACUUCGGGAGAAGGCACGCUGAUGGUAGGUGAAGUGACUUGCUCAUGGAGCUGAAAUCAGUCGAAGAUACCAGCUGGCUGCAACUGUUUAAUAAAAACACAGCACUGUGCAAACACGAAAGUGGACGUAUACGGUGUGACGCCUGCCCGGUGCCGGAAGGUUAAUUGAUGGGGUCAGCCGCAAGGCGAAGCUCUUGAUCGAAGCCCCGGUAAACGGCGGCCGUAACUAUAACGGUCCUAAGGUAGCGAAAUUCCUUGUCGGGUAAGUUCCGACCUGCACGAAUGGCGUAAUGAUGGCCAGGCUGUCUCCACCCGAGACUCAGUGAAAUUGAACUCGCUGUGAAGAUGCAGUGUACCCGCGGCAAGACGGAAAGACCCCGUGAACCUUUACUAUAGCUUGACACUGAACCUUGAGCCUUGAUGUGUAGGAUAGGUGGGAGGCUUUGAAGCGUGGACGCCAGUCUGCGUGGAGCCAACCUUGAAAUACCACCCUUUAAUGUUUGAUGUUCUAACGUGGACCCGUAAUCCGGGUUGCGGACAGUGUCUGGUGGGUAGUUUGACUGGGGCGGUCUCCUCCCAAAGCGUAACGGAGGAGCACGAAGGUUAGCUAAUCCUGGUCGGACAUCAGGAGGUUAGUGCAAAGGCAUAAGCUAGCUUGACUGCGAGAGUGACAGCUCGAGCAGGUGCGAAAGCAGGUCUUAGUGAUCCGGUGGUUCUGAAUGGAAGGGCCAUCGCUCAACGGAUAAAAGGUACUCCGGGGAUAACAGGCUGAUACCGCCCAAGAGUUCAUAUCGACGGCGGUGUUUGGCACCUCGAUGUCGGCUCAUCACAUCCUGGGGCUGAAGUAGGUCCCAAGGGUAUGGCUGUUCGCCAUUUAAAGUGGUACGCGAGCUGGGUUUAGAACGUCGUGAGACAGUUCGGUCCCUAUCUGCCGUGGGCGUUGGAAGAUUGAGAGGGGUUGCUCCUAGUACGAGAGGACCGGAGUGAACGCACCACUGGUGUACGGGUUGUGAUGCCAAUUGCAUUGCCCGGUAGCUAAGUGCGGAAGAGAUAACCGCUGAAAGCAUCUAAGCGGGAAACUUGCCUCGAGAUGAGUCUUCCCUGGGUACUUGAUACCCCUGAAGGGCCGUUGAAGACGACGACGUAGAUAGGCUGGGUGUGUAAGCGUAGCGAUACGUUGAGCUAACCAGUACUAAUGACCCGAGAGGCUUAACCUUACAACACCGAAGGUGUUU
rnacentral:rRNA from 1 species